rnacentral:rRNA from 1 species
AUUGAACGCUGGCGGCAUGCCUUACACAUGCAAGUCGAACGGCAGCACGGGAGCUUGCUCCUGGUGGCGAGUGGCGAACGGGUGAGUAAUACAUCGGAACGUACCCUGAAGUGGGGGAUAACGUAGCGAAAGUUACGCUAAUACCGCAUAUUCUGUGAGCAGGAAAGAGGGGGAUCGCAAGACCUCUUGCUUUAGGAGCGGCCGAUGUCGGAUUAGCUAGUUGGUGAGGUAAAGGCUCACCAAGGCGACGAUCCGUAGCGGGUCUGAGAGGAUGAUCCGCCACACUGGGACUGAGACACGGCCCAGACUCCUACGGGAGGCAGCAGUGGGGAAUUUUGGACAAUGGGCGCAAGCCUGAUCCAGCCAUGCCGCGU